rnacentral:rRNA from 1 species
CGUGGUUAACCUGCCCUUGGGACGGAAACACCCCCGGGAAACUGGGGCUAAUUUCCGAUAGGUGAAGGCUCCUGGAAUGGAUCUUCGCCUAAAGGGCGCUUAGGCCAUGCUUCUAAGCGCUGCCCAAGGAUGGGACCGCGGCCGAUCAGGUUGUUGGUGAGGUAAUGGCUCACCAAGCCUUUAACCGGUUCGGGCCGUGGGAGCGGGAGCCCGGAGAUGGGCACUGAGACAAGGGCCCAGGUCCUACGGGGCGCAGCAGUCGCGAAAACUCCGCAAUACGCGAAGGCGUGACGGGGCUAUCCCGAGUGCCGUCCGCUGAGGAUGGCUUUUCUCCAGUGUAGAUAGCUGGGGGAAUAAGGAGAGGGCAAGUCUGGUGUCAGCCGCCGCGGUAAUACCAGCUCUCCGAGUGGUGGGGACGUUUAUUGGGCCUAAAGCAUCCGUAGCCAGCUGAGCAAGUCCCCAGUUAAAUCCAGCGAUUUAAUCGUUGGACUGCUGGGGAUACUGUCCGGCUAGGGGGUGGGAGAGGCCGACGGUAUUCCCGGGGUAGGGGUGAAAUCCUAUAAUCCCGGGAGGACCACCAGUGGCGAAGGCUGUUGGCUAAAACAUGCCCGACGGUGAGGGAUGAAAGCUGGGGGAGCGAACCGGAUUAGAUACCCGGGUAGUCCCAGCUGU